rnacentral:rRNA from 1 species
GACGAACGCUGGCGGCGUGCUUAACACAUGCUAGUCGAACGGUGAAGCGCCUUCCUUUUUGGUGGGUGUGGAUGAGUGGCGAACGGGUGAGUAACACGUGAGUAACCUGCCCCCUUCUUCUGGAUAACCGCAUGAAAGUGUGGCUAAUACGGGAUAUUCUGGGUCUGUCGCAUGAUGGGUCUGGGAAAGAUAUUGUUUCGGUGGGGGAUGGGCUCGCGGCCUAUCAGCUUGUUGGUGGGGUGAUGGCCUACCAAGGCGGUGACGGGUAGCCGGCCUGAGAGGGUGGACGGUCACACUGGGACUGAGACACGGCCCAGACUCCUACGGGAGGCAGCAGUGGGGAAUAUUGCACAAUGGGCGCAAGCCUGAUGCAGCGACGCCGCGUGAGGGAUGGAGGCCUUCGGGUUGUGAACCUCUUUCGCCAGUGAAGCAGGCCUGCCUCGUUUGUGGGUGGGUUGACGGUAGCUGGAUAAGAAGCGCCGGCUAACUACGUG